UUUAAAAGGGUGGAAGGGAGAAACGUUGGUGGCGGCUAUCACCUAUGUUGGAGAUUGGAGGCGUACUGCGAUCGGUGGCCAGUUCAGUAUCUCUCCAACUCGAUAGGAGAGUAGAGACAGAGAGUAGUGACAGAGAGCACACAUCAUUUGAAGCAGCUAGCACUAGCACGGCUGCUGAGCUUCUAUUCCGUGCAUUAAACAUUCAACAGCUGACUCGCAGUCUGUAAUUAGUUUGAACAGAGUUGCUGUUGGCAUUGACCAAUCGUGGCCUUUGUACUGGACGUGGACCGUGGAGUGUGUGAGUGAGAAACUCAACUCACUAGAGUUUACACUCUAUACUCUCCGUUGUAAUACGAAACGUGCUUGUGGUUGUUGUCAAAUUUUUGUUUUGUUGAAUUUUCCGCGACUCAUUCUUGACUCCAACUAUCUGUCAACAACUUACUCUGUGAAUCAUAUUCAGGAAUUAUAUUCAUACGGUACUGUGUUCAAAUUAAUUGAGUCUAUUCAAUUGUGAUGUGCAUUAUAUUCAUACUGUGUUCAAAUUAAUUGAGUAUUAAAAAAAUGACUGGUUACACCUUCAGCUCUUCAAACUUUGGAUUCCCUUGAGAGUAUUCCUCGGGCCAUGGAGUUUUCAAGUGUUUCUCUGAUUUCGAUCGUCGAUAAGAAGCAGAUGAAAGUUAUGGAGAGGAGAGAGGAGAACACAAAAAUGUGAUUCUGGUUGCAAAAAGGCAAGAAGCACUGCUUGAAGCUUGUCAAUUGAAUGACAAUGAAGGAGAAGCUAGAGCCUGACUGGAUUCUGGACCGCCGCGACUCAGGACGGCUAUUCUGGAGACGCGACUCCUCGGGCGCGGGAGCGGAAGCGGGAACGACCGCCAGCAACCGCGUCAAGUUCCGCUGCGACGUCGAGAUCCUCGAGUUCCUGAGGAGUGAGCACGAGGCUAGCAGCGAGGAGGAAGAAGAUGAGGAUGGGUGGAAGGGGGAACGACGCUGGCUUAGUAGCACAGAGGAGAUUCCUCCGCCGUCCUCACUUGUGGGUGGACUGUGUGUCGUUGUCAUCAUUGCUGUACUCACUUAUCAGUGGUUGUACGCUAGGAGAACUUCUUGAGAUCAGCUAACUAAUCAAUAUUAACCUGAGAAAUAGGGCAUUUGCCCAGUUUCUGUCGAACAAGUGAACAUUAUAGUCCAUUUAAAACAACCUUCGACUUGGAAGGAUAUUCGGAGCAGAGAAAAGUAGGGAUACUGCAUCGGCGAUGUUGCCGUGCUAAAACGGACAGCGAUCCGUAGUCUUGAGUGAUUGUUCAACAGCUCAUUAUACGCGUACGUAGUUUUCCCUCUGAAAGCACUGAAUCGACUGAGUUCUGUAGUAUUUAGUAAGUGUUGAACAGCUCAUGAUAUUCAUACGUAGUUACCCCUCUGAAAGCACUGCAUCGACUGAGCUCUCUGUAGUAUUUAGUGAGUGUUGUACAGCUCAUGAUAUUCAUACGUAGUUUCCUCUCUAAAGCACUACAUCGACUGAGUCUGAUCGACAACUUGGCAACUGCGCUUCUUUCUAUGACUCUAUUGACUGAAAUUGGCUGAUAUUCCUACAUGUCUCUGCUCCGCAUAUUCCUCCAGGUCGGAGGUUGUAUUAAAUGAACUAUACCUGGUUACUUGACAAGUUGCAGUUGAACUAGUUAACAGUGAUUUGUUAAUCAGUGUAGUGGACAUUCAAAUUCAACAUCUUGCUGUUUGAGAUGUGAAACUUGUUGAAUUGGGAAGUAAACAGUUGAUAAGUUUCAGUUGAGCUAGUUCACAGUAACUUCUUAACUCGUGAAAGUGAAGUUGACAGUUGAAAUGUUGUAGUUGAAAGAGUUAACCAAAAAUUGUUGACCUUAGAAGUUGACAGUAGAUAACAUUCAAUAUUUUGAAGAAAAAAGUAACUUGUUAACUUGAUAAAUUGAUUAACUAAUUGCUAGUCGUUUAAUAUUUGGGUUUUUCGUCGAGUAAAGAUAGAUUCCAACGUUUUCGUUUUAGUAUAAGAGUCUGUCUCCGAUUUGGGGAUGAUAUUCUCUUAUGGGACUAUUCCUACUCAGUCCGGCUGAGCGGGUAUGAAGAGUCCCAUUAAACCUCAUAGGAGGAAUAUUUUCACUGAACCGGACACGAACUCUGAUACUGACUUGUGGAAUCCAACUGUAAGCAAAGAAUGCCACAGUGCAUGCCGAUGUAUUAAGGCCAAGAAUUUCAAAUAAAUGUGAGAUUAUUAAUGCAUCAUAAUUAUUAUAUUGUCAAAUUUCAUUACAAAUGGGCUUUUGGUCAAGUUACUUGAGCCAACUUUAUUUAAUCCAGCAAACUUGCUGAUAUUUCCUGUUUCUGUUCAAGUACUUUAUCAUGUUUGUCCAAGUAAUACUUGACCACUAAAUCAAGUGACACUUGAUUGAAGUGAAUUUUUUGUGUUCAAGUUGAUGUUAAAUUUUUAAGUCUAGGUGAAUUCACUUGAAUUAAGUAGGCCAAGUGGCCUUGUGAGUGUAAACUCACAGUCAAGUCUAAACAGCCCUUGUGAAAUGAUCAUUUUUUCUAUUAAACCUUGCAGAAAUAUUAUUAUAUUUAUCUUGAACAUAACUAUAAGUGAGACUACUCGUUAAUAUUUUAUAACAGAACUGACUAAUGUGUGUAUCAUAUGGAACUAUAAUUACUUCUUGAAAUUUUCAAGUCAUACAUGACUAAUGAAAGACGUUUUGCACUGUUGAGAAGACUAGCUUUUAAGACUAGAAAGGAUAUCUAGAAGGUUUAUUAGUUUUGAACUAAAGUAUUUUGACUUGGACUUUAAAUUCUGCCUUGGAUGUCUAUUCAAAAAGAUAGAAUUUUAUUAGUGAAAUUUUUGUGCUGGAAUUUGGCUCAUUUUGAAAACUAAUAACUUCUUGAUACUUGUUGGUUGACUUCCGUCCUCCUGUCCAAUAGAAAAUAUUAUUCUAUUUAUUAAUAAUUAAGAAAGAGUUUCCAGCGGAGGACGUUAAUACAAGAAAACUAGUAAUUUAUAAAUAUGAUCUAUUAGUAAAUAAUAUUAUCUAAUAUUAUGAUACAUUGAUUUAUUUUUUUACUGCACCAUUAAAAUUGAGACUAUUUAGAGAAAUUUUAAAACUAGUAUGCUCUUCUGCCAAUAUUCUAUUAUUUAUUGUUGAAUUGGAUAAAAAUUAGUGCAUUUUUUUACAUUAAUCAUGACAAUUUGGAAAUAAUUUAAUAUUUGAAAUUAUAUGAAUUUUCUAAUGAUUUAAUACUCAAAUAACCAGUGAAUGAGUUUUUUGACACUCUGCUAAGUAAUAUUAUGAUGAUGUUUGGUGUUUUGAAAAAUAUAUUAAGUAAUGUGAUUAUUGAUUCUUUGCUCGACAAACUACUUACUCCCUUAUACAUUUUUUUUGGAAAAAUAAAAUCAAUAAAUAAAUUUCACCAUUCUCUACAAUCUACAUGACAAUCCGAUUCUGAGUUAUCGCUUACUUAACAACGCGAAAAAUGGACAGAAUGCGAAACAGUGGAGAAGAUUGAUAAAAUUAUCUUCUGGUCAAAAAUCAGAUAAGUUUUGAGAAUUGAACAGGUACUAAAUUAUCAAAUAUUUUGUAAAGCAAUCAGUUACUAAUGAAAUUAUAAAAUUGGUAUUCAAAUAAAGUCUAUUAUUUGUAUGGUAUUUUGCAACGGCUAAUCCUUACUAAAAUAAUCCAAAAGACUGCGUAAACUGAACCAUUGAUGUAAAUAUGUAGCUAUCAUAUCAUCGCUUUAAUUUUUUAAUUUAUAUAAAUUUAAACAUAUUUCUGAGCAUUUGUAAAUAUCCUAUUACUGUUUAGGAUAUCUAGGUAAAUAUUACAUUAUUAUAUUCCAUUCCAUUCUAAGUUCUAGGAUUAGAAAAAUAUUGUGUAAGAUAUAUAGGCCUAAUGAGAUAUUUUUUAUAUUAUCGACAAAUCAUUCCCAUUUUCAUCCUAAAUUUAAUAUUGACAAAUAUUUUAUUGCAAAUUUAAAAAAAUGUUAUAGCAUAUUGUUUACGAAUUAUGCAUGUAGGCCGUAAUUAUAAAAUAAUGAGAAAAUUAUAUUACUGCAACCAAUCAUGUCCAUUCUCCAGUGUGUAGUAGGCUAUGUUAUUGUAAGUUACAAUGAUAAUUCAAUAUUUUAAAUAAAAUUAGCCCAAUUUGUUUGUACAAAUAAAUAUAGUUGAUGAA
rnacentral:misc_RNA from 1 species